CCAUAUGAUAUUCAAGAGCAAAGAACCAAUUCAUUUCUAAAAUGGACAUCACAGUUUUAACAAUUUCUGGAUUUGGACUAAUUCUUAUCAUUGCUAUACUAAUUUACGUUAAGUGGUUAUGUAACAGUAAGGGCGGACAAAGCCAAAAGAAUACUGGAUUUGACUCAACCAACGUCGUCAUUGAAGUUUCAAUUCUAAACGAUCCAAUCCACACAGAAAAUUCCUUAGAAACUGGAAGAUCGCAGAACGACCCGGUCCCAAAUUACGAUUCAGUAAUAUUUACUAAUAGAGGAAAAUCCUCACUCAUUUUUGACGAGACCUCUCCACCUCCAAGUUAUUCAGAAUGUGUACACAAUAAGUUGAACACAUGACAGAUCUUGGCCUUUGUGCCAUGCUAAUAGUAUUAAUUUGAUUAAUUUGAUUGAUUAAUUUAUGUAUUUAUUCUGUCGACAUAUUCAAUUUUCCAACCAGUUGAGUUGAGUUGCAUCAGUAAUAUUGUAUGCAACAAGUAUUGUAUGCAACAAGUAUUGUAUGUAAUAUUGUAUGCGUAAUUGUAAAUAAUUACAUAGAUGCGAAAAAAAGAUAAAUGCAAAAAUUUAACCAUAUGUUAAUUAAGGCAUCUUAUGUACAAUUAGUAAAAUUAUUAAUGCAACUGUGCAGAAUUUUUAUUGAUCAAUUUCAAACGGGUUGCUGUGGUGCUGGAACAGCUUAAAACAUCACUCUGAGCUAUUUACAUUCACAUAAACUAUGCAGUUUAACUGUAUCAGAAGCGGAACAAAUAAAUCCAAAAUUUUCCGGAAUAAUUUUAAUCUACCUGAAUAAAA